AGGGCAGUGGCACAUCGGGGAGAGCCCUCGCCUCGUAUGCGAAAAGACAGGGGUUCGACUCCCCUCUGUUCCG
rnacentral:tRNA from 1 species